GAUGAACGCCGGCGGCGUGCCUAACACAUGCAAGUCGAACGCUCGCAAGAGAGUGGCGCACGGGUGAGUAACACGUAGCUAAUCUGCCCUCAAGACAAGGAUAACUGUAGGAAACUACUGCUAAUACUUGAUAAGCUUACGGACUGUAGAGGUCUAUAAGAAAAGAUUUAUCGCUUGAGGAUGAGGCUGCGCGCCAUCAGCUAGUUGGUAAGGUAAUGGCUUACCAAGGCGACGACGGCUAGGGGACCUGAGAGGGUGACCCCCCACACUGGGACUGAGACACGGCCCAGACUCCUACGGGAGGCAGCAGUGAGGAAUAUUGCUCAAUGGGCGCAAGCCUGAAGCAGCGACGCCGCGUGGGUGAUGAAGGCCUUCGGUC
rnacentral:rRNA from 1 species